GGGAAGGUGGCUCAGUGGUAGAGCGCUUGCCUUACAUGCAUGAGGGUUCGAUUCCUCAGUACCA
rnacentral:tRNA from 1 species